UGGGGAAUAUUGCACAAUGGGCGCAAGCCUGAUGCAGCCAUGCCGCGUGUAUGAAGAAGGCCUUCGGGUUGUAAAGUACUUUCAGCAGUGAGGAAGGGGUGUGUGUUAAUAGCGCACAUCUUUGACGUUAGCUGCAGAAGAAGCACCGGCUAACUCCGUGCCAGCAGCCGCGGUAAUACGGAGGGUGCGAGCGUUAAUCGGAAUUACUGGGCGUAAAGCGCAUGCAGGUGGUUUGUUAAGUCAGAUGUGAAAGCCCGGGGCUCAACCUCGGAAUAGCAUUUGAAACUGGCAGACUAGAGUACUGUAGAGGGGGGUAGAAUUUCAGGUGUAGCGGUGAAAUGCGUAGAGAUCUGAAGGAAUACCGGUGGCGAAGGCGGCCCCCUGGACAGAUACUGACACUCAGAUGCGAAAGCGUGGGGAGCAAACAGGAUUAGAUACCCUGGUAGUCCACGCCGUAAACGAUGUCUACUUGGAGGUUGUGGCCUUGAGCCGUGGCUUUCGGAGCUAACGCGUUAAGUAGACCGCCUGGGGGAGUACGGUC
rnacentral:rRNA from 1 species